UGGGGAAUCAUGGUCAAUGGGCGAAAGCCUGAACCUGCGACGCCGCGUGAGUGAUGAAGGUCGUAAGAUCGUAAAACUCUUUUCAGGGAUCUUAAAGCCUGUCUGUCAACAACAGGCAGGUCUGACUCUCCCUGGAAGAAGCCCCAGCCAACUACGUGCCAGCAGCUGCGGUAAUACGUAGGGGGCGUGCGUUAUUCGGAAUUACUGGGUGUAAAGGGUAUGUAGGCGGCCCUUCAAGUCGGGUGUCAAAGUCCAGGGCUCAACUCUGGGUGUG
rnacentral:rRNA from 1 species